rnacentral:rRNA from 1 species
CCUACGGGAGGCAGCCGUGAGGAAUAUUGGUCAAUGGGCGCGAGCCUGAACCAGCCAAGUAGCGUGAAGGAUGACUGCCCUACGGGUUGUAAACUUCUUUGACAGGGGAAGAGCAGAAGACGGUACCCUGAAAACAAGCCACGGCUAACUACGGGACAGCAGUCGCGGUAAUACGGGGGAUGCAAGCGUUAUACGGAUUUAUUGGGUUUAAAGGGUGCGUAGGCUGUGAGGUAAGUCAGCGGUGAAAUGCCCCCGCUCAACGGGGUGAAGUGCCAUUGAUACUGCCUUGCUGGAAUGCGGAUGCCGUGGGAGGAAUGUGUGGUGUAGCGGUGAAAUGCAUAGAUAUCACACAGAACACCGAUUGCGAAGGCAUCUCACGAAUCCGCGAUUGACGCUGAUGCACGAAAGCGUGGGUAUCAAACAGGAUUAGAUACCCUGGUAGUC